rnacentral:rRNA from 1 species
CCUACGGGAGGCAGCAGUGGGGAAUAUUGGGCAAUGGGCGCAAGCCUGACCCAGCAACGCCGCGUGAAGGAAGAAGGCUUUCGGGUUGUAAACUUCUUUUUUCAGGGACGAAGCAAGUGACGGUACCUGAGGAAUAAGCCACGGCUAACUACGUGCCAGCAGCCGCGGUAAUACGUCGGUGGCAAGCGUUAUCCGGAUUUACUGGGUGUAAAGGGCGUGUAGGCGGGACUGCAAGUCAGAUGUGAAAACCACGGGCUCAACCUGUGGCCUGCAUUUGAAACUGUAGUUCUUGAGUACUGGGGAGGCAGACGGAAUUCCUAGUGUAGCGGUGAAAUGCGUAGAUAUGAGGAGGAACCCCAGUGGCGAAGGCGGUCUGCUGGACAGCAACUGACGCUGAGGCGCGAAAGCGUGGGGAGCAAACAGGAUUAGAUACCCCGGUAGUC